UCCUAGGCCUAUCCGCAUUCGCGCCACGAGGCGUAGAUCUUGAUUCUACCUGCAGAACGUGGUGAUACUUUAAAACUUUUAUUAAAAGUUCAGUUUAGAUCUAGUACCUCAGUGAGAUUCUAUAAAUGUAGAUCUCGGAAUCUAGAUCCACUUUUUCUAGAUCUAGGGUGGAGAAAAGUCUGCGUCUGCUGCUAUCUAGCUAGACUAGUCUAGGCUCUAAUCUAGACCUAGAGUCUAGAUCUAGACUUAGAUUCUAGAAUCUAGAUCUAGAUCUAGAAUCUAGAAGAAUCUCAUCAGUAAAACUAAGCACACAAUCUAGCUUUCUAGAAUCUGGUGUGUUGCAGUAGCCAGUGAGUGAAAUGAUGGCUGUGUCAGAAGUGCUGUUAGUACAGGUAAUGGCAGCGUCAGAAGUGCUGAGUGGUGGUAUAGAUCAUGGCUGUGUCAGAAGUGCUGUUAGUACAGAUGAUGGCAGUGUCAGAAAUGCUGUUGGUAACGUCAGUCUAUUUGUGUUACUUAUCUCAAUGAAUGGUGUCCUGUACAGUGAAUACAAUAUGGGAAGGCAAGCUACAUGUUUGCAGCCAUUGUCACUACAAGGGUCUAGGUUUAAACAUGGCUGACCUCUAACAGAGCUAGACUAAGUCUGCUGGUGUACAGAAAUUUGGCAACUCAAGUACGGUCUAUCCUCUAUAAUUAUGACUUUACAAGCUCACAAAAGCAAUGUCUAUUCAGCCAUUGUCACGACAAGGGUCUAGGUUUAAACAUGGCUGACCUCUAUCAGAGCUAGACUAAGUCUGCUGGUGUACAGAAAUUUGGCAACAAGUACGGUCUAUCCUCUAUGUACCUGCUGAUCUGAAAACUCAUAGACUUGGAUUCAGCCUGCUUAGGCCACCGUUGUGAGGAAAGCCAAAUGGUCAGUUGCCUUCACUGAGUUUAGUACCAGUUUGAGAACUUGACCACUCUGAGGAACGUAUUGAGGGCUGAAAUUAACAGUCUGCACAAACAGUCAAAGCAGUGUGGGUGAAGGACAAGGAAGAUGUUCUGUUUUAUUAGGACAGAUGUGGCUCUGAAUAUGAAUUUGAAGACCGCUAAAGGUUUUUCCUUUAUCUAUGUUAAUAGAUACUCAGAACUGAUUUUUCAAACCUAUCAUACAGCAAUUGUUUUUAUUUUAAUGUGUAGUACUAAUUAUU